rnacentral:lncRNA from 1 species
GAGAGGGAUGGGGAGAGGGAUCGGGAUCAUCGGGAUUCCAGCCGGGUCGGGAUCGGGAUCAGGAUCAUUGGGAUCAUUGGGAUCAUUAUCGGGAUCGCGAUGGGGAGCGGGAUUGGGAUUCCAACCGGGUCGGGAUGGGGACCUGGAGCGGGAUCAGGAUCCGGUCCGGUCCGGAGCUGGAAUCGAACCGGGGCGGGAUUGGGAUCGGGAUCGGGAUCGGGAUUUGGAUCAUGGGGAUCGGGAUGGGGAUGGGGAUCGGGAUGGGGAUGGGGAUCGGGAUCGGGAUUUGGAUCAUGGGGAUCGGGAUGGGGAGAGGGAUCGGGAUUCCAAACGGGUCGGGAUGGGGAGCGGGAUCCGGUCUGGACCGGGAUUCCAACCGGGACAGGAGUGGGAUCGGGAUCGGGAUUCUAACCGGAUCGGGAUCGGGAUCGGGAUUGGAAUCAGGAUUGGGAUCGGGAUCGGGAUCAGGAUUGGAAUCAGGAUUGGGUUCGGGAUCGGAUUUGAAGCCAGUCAGGAUUGGGAUCUGGUCCAGACCACGAUUCAAACCAGAUCGGGAUCAGGGAGACCCCAAAUUCCCCCAAAUUUUCCCCAAAUCCUUCGGGAAAUUCCCUCUAAAUCCACCCUAAAAUUUCCCCCCAAACCAUCCCAAAAUUAUCCCAAAAUUAUCCCCAAAUUCCCCCAAAAUUCCCACCGAAUCCACCCCCAAAUCAUCCCAGUAUUGCCCCAAAAUUAUCCCAAAAUUCCUCCUCAAAUCAUCCUAAAAUUCCCCAAAAAAUCCACCCCAAAAAUUUGGGAUUGCAGCCCCUGGAAAAGCCCCAAAAUUUGGGAUUUUGGGAUCCUAACGGGGAUUUUUUGGGAUUCUCCUUGCAGGCUCGGAUUUGGGAUUUUGGGAGGAAUCUCCCAAAUUUGGGGUGAGGAUGCAGGAGAAUUACGAGAAUGUCAUUUCCUUGGCCGAGGAAAUCGCCAUCAGUUGGCCCCGGAUCACCGCGUUCGCCGAAUCCCACCGGAGACGGGGGCUGGUGUCGGCUACGGAAGCCGAGGGGGACCAGAACCACCCCGAGCCCCCCCCGGCGCCGCCCCCUCCCCCGGGGGGUUCCGGCGGCGGGGGAGGGGCGGAGCCGGAUCUGCGCCGGCAGCUGGGGCUGAUCCUCCAAACGGCCGGGAGGAGCCAGGUGGAAAAAAUGCUCCGGGAAUUGGUGCGGGAACAAGGCCAGGCCGGAAAACGCCGGAACCGGAGGAGAACGGCCAAAGGCCAAGGUGAGUUUUGGCGUUUUUCCCAAAAAACUCCCCCCCAAAAAAACGUCAUCGGAGGCAUCCAGUAGAUUUUUUUUGAGAAUUUUGUGAGAUUUUUUUGGAUUUUUUGGGAAAAACCGAAGACCAGGAAUGAGUUUUGGCAUUUUUUCCCCCCCAAAAAAUGGCGGUGGAGGCAUCCAGGAAAUUUUUUUGGAGGAUUUUUUUGGGAUUUUUGGGAAAAACCAAAGAUUGAAGAGAGUUUUGGCGUUUUUCCCCCGAAAAAAACAUCAUCGGAGUCAUCCAGUAGAUUUUUUUUGAGAAUUUUGUGAGAUUUUUUGGGAUUUUUUGGGAAAAACCGAAGACCAGGAAUGAGUUUUGGCAUUUUUCCCAAAAAAUUCCCCAAAAAAGGGCAUCAGAGGCACCAAAAGGAAUUUUUUUGGAGGAUUUUGCGGGGUUUU